GACGAACGCUGGCGGCGUGCUUAACACAUGCAAGUCGAACGGAAAGGCCCUGCUUUUGUGGGGUGCUCGAGUGGCGAACGGGUGAGUAACACGUGAGUAACCUGCCCUUGACUUUGGUAUAACUUCAGGAAACUGGGGCUAAUACCGGAUAGGAGCUCCUGCUGCAUGGUGGGUUUUGGAAAGUUUCGGCGGUUGGGGAUGGACUCGCGGCUUAUCCGCUUGUUGGUGGGGUAGUGGCUUACCAAGGCUUUGACGGGUAGCCGGCCUGAGAGGGUGACCGGCCACAUUGGGACUGAGAUACGGCCCAGACUCCUACGGGAGGAAGAAGUGGGGAAUAUUGAAAAAUGGGCGGAGGCCUGAUGCAGCAACGCCGCGGGCGGGAUGACGGCCUUCGGGUUGUAAACCGCUUUCGCCUGUGACGAAGCGUGAGUGACGGUAAUGGGUAAAGAAGCACCGGCUAACUACGUG
rnacentral:rRNA from 1 species